rnacentral:rRNA from 1 species
GGAUUCCCCUAGUACUGCGAGUGAAGCGGGAAAAGCUCAAAUUUAAAAUCUGGCGGUCUUUGGCCGCCCGAGUUGUAAUUUAGAGAAGCGUCUUCCGCGCCGGACCGUGCACAAGUCUCCUGGAAUGGAGCGUCAUAGAGGGUGAGAAUCCCGUCUUUGGCACGGAUGCCUGGUGCUUCUGUGAUGCGCUCUCGAAGAGUCGAGUUGUUUGGGAAUGCAGCUCAAAAUGGGUGGUGAACUCCAUCUAAAGCUAAAUAUUGGCGAGAGACCGAUAGCGAACAAGUACCGUGAGGGAAAGAUGAAAAGCACUUUGGAAAGAGAGUGAAACAGUACGUGAAAUUGUUGAAAGGGAAACGCUUGAAGUCAGUCGCGUCGACCGAGACUCAGCCUUGCCUCGGCAUGGUGUACUUCUCGGCCCGACGGGUCAGCAUCAAUUUUGCCCCUCGGAUAAUGGCAGAGGAAAGGUGGCACCUUUACGGGUGUGUUAUAGUCUCCUGUCGCAUGCGAGGGGUGGGAUUGAGGAACUCAGCGCGCACCUCAGUGUCGGGGCUUCGGCCCACGUCACGCGCUUAGGAUGCUGGCGUAAUGGCUUUAAACGACCCGUCUUGAAACACGGACCAAGGAGUCCAACACGCCCGCGAGUGUUCGGGUGGAAAACCCGUGCGCGUAAUUAAAGUGAAAGUUGGGACCUCUGUCGUGGAGGGCACCGACGCCCGGACCAGACCUUCUGUGACGGAUCUGCGGUAGAGCGCGUGUGUUGGGACCCGAAAGAUGGUGAACUAUGCCUGAAUAGGGUGAAGCCAGAGGAAACUCUGGUGGAGGCUCGUAGCGAUUCUGACGU